rnacentral:rRNA from 1 species
CCUACGGGAGGCAGCAGUGGGGAAUCUUGCGCAAUGGGGGCAACCCUGACGCAGCCAUGCCGCGUGAAUGAUGAAGGCCUUAGGGUUGUAAAGUUCUUUUGCCCGUGACGAUGAUGACGGUAACGGGAGAAUAAGCUCCGGCUAACUUCGUGCCAGCAGCCGCGGUAAUACGAAGGGGGCUAGCGUUGUUCGGAAUUACUGGGCGUAAAGCGCGCGCAGGCGGUUCGAUAAGUUAGGGGUGAAAUCCCUGGGCUCAACCCAGGAAUGGCCUUUAAGACUGUCGAGCUAGAGGACGAGAGAGGUGAGUGGAAUUCCCAGUGUAGAGGUGAAAUUCGUAGAUAUUGGGAAGAACACCGGUGGCGAAGGCGGCAUACUGGAUCAUUACUGACGCUGAGGCUCGAAAGCGUGGGGAGCAAACAGGAUUAGAUACCCUGGUAGUCCACGCCGUAAACGAUGAUUGCUAGUUGUCGGGAUGUUUACAUCUCGGUGACGCAGCUACGACAUAAGUACAAUACCGCCGUCGGGUAGGUACGGUCGCGAAGAAUUAAAACUUAAAAUUAAGUAAGUUAGUACGGCGUGAGACGUAGACCGAACGGACGACGACGAGGGAGGUAGG